rnacentral:lncRNA from 1 species
AUUUAUUCAUUUGUUUAUAGUAAGUAAUUUAUUUGUAUUUGGUGAUUGUGUGGCUAUAAUUCUCUCACGAAUUAUUAGAGACGACGAUCGACAAAGAAACGACCCGUAAGCAUAUUAGAUUCAUUGGACGGAAUCUUUAGUCGAGGUAAGGGGUGAGAUGAGGUUCGAUUUUAUGAGUAUAAAAUAACGUUAGAUGAACGGAAAUACCGAAACUCCCAGAUGCUCAUUCAAGGCUUACUACGUACGGUUGAGCCCUAUUGAAUAAUAAUAAUUAAUUAGUAAUAUAUGACUGGUAAUUGUGAGGACGAAAAUUUAGAAACCUAUAGAAUUGUCGUGAAUUAAUUUAUAAUAAGAUUGCGUUUUAUUUGAUUUUAUGAAACCUAUACUAAUUGUUAUUGUAUGAAUGAUAUGUAUUUGAGUGUUCUUGUCUACUUGAUUGAAAUUCUGAUAUUACUUGAAAGUGCACCUAAUUGAUUCCUUAUUAUGUGAUUGAUGAGACUGGACUGAAUAUUGUGAAGUCAAACUGAAACUUAUUGAGUUGUGAUGAUCAAGUAAGUCUCAGAAAUGUGUUGUAGAUUUUGGAGUUUGGACUAUUUUGUAAUCAUAUAGGGAGGGUUUGACAAACCUAGUGAUUCAGGGAAGUACAACUAAAUGAGCCUGAUCGUGGAGGGCUACAGUCAAACUGUAAGGUAAGACUGAUAGACCUUGGGGUAUCUCUAGUGGGGAAUUUCUAAGUAGAUUAGUGGGUUAUUCCUUAUGACCGGCAACUACCGUGCAACACAAGAGUAUCCCAACCGUCGUGUAUAUGUGUCUCGGGUUGAGUUGAGGGGAUCUAUGAGGAUUUGGCCAUUCAUGAAUUGUCUGUCCACUCUUGUAGUGGCAUAGUAUCUGGCCUCCUAACCAAGUACUUAAGAGUAGAAUGAUACUAAAUGAUGAAGUAUAGAGUAUAUGACUUGCAUAACAUUUUGUCCUUGUAACUGUUAUAUUGUGCUUGAAUUAGAUUAACCUUUGAUAUUAUGUUCUUGAAUGUUCUCUUUAUUUGUGUUGUUUUGACUAAUUGUGUGUUCUCCUCGUGUAUUUUAUAUUGUUGCAUAACUUCGAAACUCACCGUUCGUUGUUUGUGUUUGGCGUUUGCGAUGGACGCAUAUGAGUUGUAAGCUGCAGAUGAUGACUAGUACCAUUUGAGAGGCGGAAGCCACCUUGUCUUGAAUACUCUUAUUAUAUGCAUUGUGUUCAUGUUAUUUUGAGCAUAUUUUUAUUUUGGGAAUUUCCGCUCUGGUAGUGACAUCGGGUUGGGACUACAUGUGCACUUAAUAUUAAACUUAUGUAUGUGUACAUCAAAAAGAAUUUUGUUGUUUGAUAAUAUGAUUGCAAU